AUUGAACGCUGGCGGCAGGCCUAACACAUGCAAGUCGAGCGAGCGGCGGACGGGUGAGUACUGUCUGGGAACCUGCCUGAUGGAGGGGGAUAACUACUGGAAACGGUAGCUAAUACCGCAUACCAUCAGAUGUGCCCAGAUGGGAUUAGCUAGUAGGUGGGGUAACGGCCCACCUAGGGGACGAUCCCUAGCUGGUCUGAGAGGAUGAUCAGCCACACUGGAACUGAGACACGGUCCAGACUCCUACGGGAGGCAGCAGUGGGGAAUAUUGGACAAUGGGCGAAAGCCUGAUGCAGCCAUGCCGCGUGUGUGAAGAAGGCCUUCGGGUUGUAAAGCACUUUCAGCUGGGAGGCGUUACCCGCAGAAGAAGCACCGGCUAACUCCGUGCCAGCAGCCGCGGUAAUAC
rnacentral:rRNA from 1 species